rnacentral:rRNA from 1 species
UACGAAGGGGGCGAGCGUUGUUCGGAUUUACUGGGCGCAAAGGGCGCGUAGGCGGCCUUGUCAGUCAGGCGUGAAAGCCCCCGGCUCAACUGGGGAGGGUCAUUCGAUACUGUCCGACUCGAAGGCAGGAGAGGGAAGCGGAAUUCCCGGUGUAGUGGUGAAAUGCGUAGAUAUCGGGAGGAACACCAGUGGCGAAGGCGGCUUUCUGGCCUGUUCUUGACGCUGAGGCGCGAAAGCUAGGGGAGCGAACGGG